AUGGUUCUGCUAUCACUCUUGGAUGGACCUGCGGUGCAUUAGCUAGUUGGUAGGGUAACGGACCUACCAAGGCGAUGAUGCAUAGCCGAGUUGAGAGACUGAUCGGCCACAUUGGGACUGAGACACGGUCCAAACUCCUACGGGAGGCAGCAGUAGGGAAUCUUCCACAAUGGACGCAAGUCUGAUGGAGCAACGCCGCGUGAGUGAAGAAGGGUUUCGGCUCGUAAAGCUCUGUUGUUGGUGAAGAAGGACAGGGGUAGUAACUGACCUUUGUUUGACGGUAAUCAAUUAGAAAGUCACGGCUAACUACGUGCCAGCAGCCGCGGUAAAAU
rnacentral:rRNA from 1 species